rnacentral:rRNA from 1 species
UGAGGAAUAUUGCCCAAUGGACGCAAGUCUGAGGCAGCAACGCCGCGUGAGCGAUGAAGGCCUUCGGGCUGUAAAGCUUCUUUUCGUGGGGGACGAGAGAGGACGGUACCUCAGGAAUAAGUCACGGCUAACU